AGUGUGUGCUGAGGUGGCUGAUAAAUCCCACGUGCCGAGUGUCGGAAUCAGAAAUUAGCCUUUUUGGAAGGACAUGAACUAUGUGUCUGAAAAAAUGAUUGCUCACUUUCCAAGUUGUGACACCUUGUUAGCAUCAAGUUCACUAGCCAGGCCAAGGGCAGUUAUUCCGGCUUGACCUCAGCAUCAUUAUUUUUCCUGAGGAGGCAAUUGUGAGAAACUCCAUGGUGUAACAAUCCUCACGAGACUUUUGUAAGCCAGAGGUCAUCCAAGGCCUUCUAGUAUGGAACUAUAAAUACUAUUGCUGUAAACAGGAUAUAGCUAUUAAACUUAGGCAGGCAGGUGGCAACAUUAUUAGGAAAUGUGGUUGCUGAGGAAGCCUUCAAAUGGGCAUAUGGUUUC
rnacentral:lncRNA from 1 species